rnacentral:rRNA from 1 species
GGGCCCGCACAAGCGGUGGAGCAUGUGGUUUAAUUCGAUGAUACGCGAGGAACCUUACCAGGGCUUAAAUGUAGUGGGACAGGUCUAGAGAUAGACCCUUCUUCGGACUCAUUACAAGGUGCUGCAUGGUUGUCGUCAGCUCGUGCCGUGAGGUGUCAGGUUAAGUCCUAUAACGAGCGCAACCCCUAUCGUUAGUUGCCAGCGGGUAAUGCCGGGAACUCUAGCGAAACUGCCGGUGCAAACCGAGAGGAAGGUGGGGAUGACGUCAAAUCAUCACGGCCCUUACGUCCUGGGCUACACACGUGCUACAAUGGCCGGUACAGAGAGCAGCCACUACGCGAGUAGGAGCGAAUCUAUAAAACCGGUCUCAGUUCGGAUUGAGGUCUGCAACUCGACCUCAUGAAGUCGGAGUCGCUAG